GAGCCGCGGCGGGGCCUUCGAAUCGUCCGGGGCGUCCAGGGCCUCCGGGGCAUCCGAUGCCCCCGGGGAGUGCGAGGCGCCCGUGGCCGG
rnacentral:tRNA from 1 species